AUACGUAGGGGGCGAGCGUUGUCCGGAAUUAUUGGGCGUAAAGAGCUCGUAGGCGGCUCAGCAAGUCGGCUGUGAAAUCCCGAGGCUCAACCUCGGAACUGCAGUCGAUACUGCUGUGGCUAGAGUCUGGUAGAGGAGAGUGGAAUUCCCGGUGUAGCGGUGAAAUGCGCAGAUAUCGGGAGGAACACCAGUAGCGAAGGCGGCUCUCUGGGCCAGUACUGACGCUGAGGAGCGAAAGCGUGGGGAGCAAACAGGAUUAGAUACCCUGGUAGUCCACGCCGUAAACGUUGGGUACUAGGUGUGGCGUCCCGAUCAACGGAUGCCGUGCCGAAGCUAACGCAUUAAGUACCCCGCCUGGGGAGUACGGCCGCAAGGCUAAA
rnacentral:rRNA from 1 species